AGUGGCGCACGGGUGAGUAACGCGUGGAUAAUCUGCCCUUUAGUCGGGAAUAACCUGCCGAAAGGCGGGCUAAUACCCGAUGAUACUAUUUCCAUUGCGGUGGGAUAGUCAAAGAUAGCCUCUAUUUAUAAGCCAUCGCUGAAGGAUGAGUCCGCGUACCAUUAGCUUGUUGGUAGGGUAAUGGCCUACCAAGGCUGUGAUGGUUAGCUGGUCUGAGAGGAUGACCAGCCACACUGGAACUGAGACACGGUCCAGACUCCUACGGGAGGCAGCAGUGAGGAAUCUUGCGCAAUGGGGGAAACCCUGACGCAGCAACGCCGCGUGAGUGAGGAAGGUCUUCGGAUCGUAAAGCUCUGUCAGGUGGGAAGAAACGUAUGGGGGUUAACAGCUCUCAUGCUUGACGGUACCGCCAGAGGAAGCACCGGCUAACUCCGUGCCAGCAGCCGCGGUAAUACGGGGGGUGCAAGCGUUGUUCGGAAUUAUUGGGCGUAAAGAGCGUGUAGGCGGCUGGAUAAGUCAGAUGUGAAAGCCCUGGGCUUAACCCAGGAAGUGCAUUUGAAACUGUUCAGCUGGAGUAAGGGAGAGGAAAGUGGAAUUCCUGGUGUAGAGGUGAAAUUCGUAGAUAUCAGGAGGAACACCGGUGGCGAAGGCGACUUUCUGGCCCUAUACUGACGCUGAGACGCGAGAGCGUGGGUAGCAAACAGGAUUAGAUACCCUGGUAGUCCACGCCGUAAACGAUGUUCACUAGGUGUUGGGGGUAUUGACCCCCUCAGUGCCGUAGCUAACGCAUUGAGUGAACCGCCUGGGGAGUACGGUCGCAAGACUAAAACUCAAAGGAAUUGACGGGGGCCCGCACAAGCGGUGGAGCAUGUGGUUUAAUUCGAUGCAACGCGAAGAACCUUACCUGGGCUUGACAUCCCGGGAAUCCCCUGGAAACAGGGGAGUGCCUUUCGGGGAACCCGG
rnacentral:rRNA from 1 species